rnacentral:rRNA from 1 species
GGGGGAAAAAUUAAAUAAUAAAUAAAUAAUAAAAAAAAUUUUAAUAUUAAAAUGAAAUGGGGGUUAAAGUAUUUUUAAUAGAAAAAAUUUUUAUAUUUAUAGGGAAUUAGUAUUGUAAAAGAAAUUUGAAAUAGUGUAUAAUAAUAAUUUAUUAAAAAGAAAAUUUAAUUUAUUGUAUCUUGUGUAUCAGAGUUUAUUAAAUAAAAAUUUUUAAUUAAAAAAAUCUCGAAUUUAAAAGAGUUAAUUAAUUAAAAAAGUUAAUGUAGUAUAAUUAUUUUAAAUAGUUAAUUAGAAAUGAAAUGUUAAUCGUUUUUAAAUAUAUCUAGUUUUUUUAGAAAAAAAUUUAAUUUUGAAUUUAAUUUUUUUUUCUAUUUAUUGUAUAAAUUAAAAAAAAAUUAAAUUUAAUAUUUUGAGGGAUAAGCUUUAAAUUAAAAAUUUAUAAUCAAAUAAAAAUAUUAUUUAAAAUUUUUAAAAUUUAUAUUGUUUAAAAAUUAUAAUUUAUUAUAAAAAAUUUAAAAAUAAAUAAAAUUUAAUAAAAUAAAUAUUUAAAUUUUUAUAAAAAAAUAUUUUUUAAUAAAAAAAAAUUAGUAAUAAUGAUAAAAUUAGUAUAAUUUGUGUAAAAAAAAAAUAAAUUAAUAUUUAAAGUAUUAUAAAGGAAUUCGGCAAAUAAAUAUAUUCACUUGUUUAUCAAAAACAUGUCUUUUUGAAAUUAAUUUAAAGUCUAAUCUGCCCACUGAUAUAAAUUAAAGGGCUGCAGUAUAUUGACUGUACAAAGGUAGCAUAAUCAUUAGUCUUUUAAUUGGAGACUUGUAUGAAAGAUUUGAUGAAAUAUAAACUGUCUCUAAUAUAUUAAUAGAAUUUUAUUUUUUAGUAAAAAAGCUAAAAUUUAUUUAAAAGACGAGAAGACCCUAUAGAGUUUUAUAAUUAUUUUAUUUUAAAUUAAUUAUAAAAUUUAAAAUUAAAAAUGAAAUAAUUAUUUUAUUGGGGUGAUAGAAAAAUUAGAAAAACUUUUUUUAAAUAUUAGAUAUAAAUAAAUAGAUAUAUGAUCCAUUUAUAAUGAUUAUAAGAAAAAAUUACCUUAGGGAUAACAGCGUAAUAUUUUUUUUUAGUUCAAAUAAAAAAGAAAGUUUGCGACCUCGAUGUUGGAUUAAGAUAAAAUUUAGACGCAAAAGUUUAAAAUUUUGAUCUGUUCGAUCAUUAAAAUCUUACAUGAUCUGAGUUCAAACCGGUGUGAGCCAGGUUGGUUUCUAUCUUUAGAAAAUAAAAAUAUUUUAGUACGAAAGGAUUAAAUAUUUAAAAUAAUUUUUUUUUAUGAAUACCAUUAAUUUGUAUAAGUU